ACUCUCUAUCCUUCUCCCUUCCUCUCUGUAAAAAAAUCAAUAAAAUAUAUAUAUUUUUUUAAAUAAUUUUUUUUUUAAAUUGUAAAACAUGCAGAAAACAGUGUAACAAAUACCCAGUAUCCAUCACUAGGCCUAGCAUAUAUUAUAUUUGUUUCCAACCUUUAAAAAAUUUUUUAUAUGGCUAUCGCUCCACUCAUCCCCAUCCUUUCCCUUGUUGUCCCCAGAACCCCAGAUGUCAGCACAAUCCUGAAGUUGGCCCUGAGUGAGAAGCAAUGUACAGAGAAGUAAAAUAUAUCCUUCCCCUUAAGGAGCAAGUACAAGCACUCAAGACCUGUAAUCCAUCUCAAGUCCCCAGAACACGGUGCUCAGCAGCAGCAGUGGUGUGGUGGGAAGGGCACUGGAACCUGCAAUCCAGCCUGAGACAUUGCACAAGUCACUGACUCCCUCUGAUAGGUGCUCACCUACCACAUGAAGGUAUCACUUCACACACUUGCUAGAAGGGUUCAGUGUGCUGGGUUAAUCCCUGGUUUUCUUUUCAAACAGAAAAAUUAGAGAAAUCAAGGAAUUUGCCCAGAGAUUAUCUAGAAAUGAGUAAGAACCAAACUCUGGUCCCCUACUAUCAUAAAUCUAGAUACCAUGACAGCUCUUCUAGGGACCCAGAAUGAAGCCACACAAAAACACAUACUAUUCCAGGCAAGCUAGGGUAGGAUGGAAAAAGAUGGAGGAAGUAUCAAUAUCUCAGAUUAUUCAGCAACCUCAAGUGAGGCUGAGAGGAGCAGGUGGGCCUAAAAAGGAGUGUUCUAGAACAAAAGAAGGGUGCAAGAGUGGUUUGAAACUGCAGAAGUUCAAA